UACGUAGGGGGGCUAGCGUUGUCCGGAAUCAUUGGGCGUAAAGCGCGCGUAGGCGGCCCCGGUAAGUCCGCUGUGAAAGUCAAAGGCUCAACCUUUGAAUGUCAGCGGAUACUGCCGGGCUAGAGUCCGGAAGAGGCGAGUGGAAUCCUGGUGUAGCGGUGGAAUGCGCAGAUAUCAGGAGGAACACCAACGGCGAAGGCAGCUCGCUGGGACGGUACUG
rnacentral:rRNA from 1 species